CUCUUCUUUGCUGUGUCUUCAGCUUCUACGAAAUAGUACCUGGUUAGGAAUCAUAAUAAUCACAGUCAAAUAAAGACCCGCUUCUGUGUUCUGCAACUUCAAAACGGCCCCAAGGGCCCCACCUCUUCCAGUACUCUUUCCUCAUUAUGGAUGCGCCAGGCAACCACUGGAUUCUAAAGAAGACAAUGGCCUCAAAGCGAUGGUGUGUCACUCCUUUGGUGAGGCUCUGAAAACUGUGACUUCCUUCCCGUCUCCACUCCUUCUCCUUGGUUCUUUUUGCUUGCCUCCGGUGCUGAAACAAGUUGCCAUCUUGUGAGCCUGGGCCCACGGAGGCCCUGAGACCCUCAGACCAGCAGCCCAGAAGCAUCCUUCCCAGCUGAGCCAUGAGGUCAAAGCCACUGCUGCUGAGACCCGGAUGGCAACCUCACUGGCGACUCUGAGCCACCGGACCCCACCUAACCAUGCCCAGGUUGUCGACCCACAGAAACACUGCUUUCUGCAUUAUUCAUCCUUCCUACAAUCAUCCAAGCUCACUGCAGAAAAAUAC
rnacentral:lncRNA from 1 species